AGAGUUUGAUCCUGGCUCAGGAUGAACGCUAGCGAUAGGCUUAACACAUGCAAGUCGAGGGGCAGCAUGGUCUUAGCUUGCUAAGACUGAUGGCGACCGGCGCACGGGUGCGUAACGCGUAUGCAACUUGCCUCACAGAGGGGGAUAACCCGUCGAAAGACGGACUAAUACCGCGUACACUCUAUGUUGGGCAUCCAAUGUAGAGGAAAUGAAAUUCGCUGUGAGAUAGGCAUGCGUCCCAUUAGCUAGUUGGUGAGGUAACGGCUCACCAAGGCGACGAUGGGUAGGGGAACUGAGAGGUUGAACCCCCACACUGGUACUGAGACACGGACCAGACUCCUACGGGAGGCAGCAGUGAGGAAUAUUGGUCAAUGGGCGAGAGCCUGAACCAGCCAAGUCGCGUGAAGGAUGACUGUCUUAUGGAUUGUAAACUUCUUUUAUACGGGAAUAACAAGAGUCACGUGUGACUCCCUGCAUGUACCGUAUGAAUAAGCAUCGGCUAACUCCGUGCCAGCAGCCGCGGUAAUACGGAGGAUGCGAGCGUUAUCCGGAUUUAUUGGGUUUAAAGGGUGCGUAGGCGGCCUGUUAAGUCAGCGGUGAAAUCUAGGAGCUUAACUCCUAAAUUGCCAUUGAUACUGGCGGGCUUGAGUGUAGAUGAGGUAGGCGGAAUGCGUGGUGUAGCGGUGGAAUGCAUAGAUAUCACGCAGAACUCCGAUUGCGAAGGCAGCUUACUAAGGUACAACUGACGCUGAAGCACGAAAGCGUGGGUAUCAAACAGGAUUAGAUACCCUGGUAGUCCACGCAGUAAACGAUGAUAACUGGGCGUAUGCGAUAUACAGUAUGCUCCUAAGCGAAAGCGUUAAGUUAUCCACCUGGGGAGUACGCCGGCAACGGUGAAACUCAAAGGAAUUGACGGGGGCCCG
rnacentral:rRNA from 2 species